UACGAAGGGGGCUAGCGUUGCUCGGAAUUACUGGGCGUAAAGCGCACGUAGGCGGCUUUCUAAGUCAGGGGUGAAAUCCUGGAGCUCAACUCCAGAACUGCCUUUGAUACUGAGGAUCUUGAGUUCGGGAGAGGUGAGUGGAACUGCGAGUGUAGAGGUGAAAUUCGUAGAUAUUCGCAAGAACACCAGUGGCGAAGGCGGCUCACUGGCCCGAUACUGACGCUGAGGCACGAAAGCGUGGGGAGCAAACAGG
rnacentral:rRNA from 1 species